AUUUUAACAAAUAGCAUUGGAUCUUAUAUUAUUUAAGCCAUUAAAUGCAUGACAGGCCUUAUUUAGGAGUCUUACAACCUGUACUUAAAAAAUAGCCCUUAAGUCUACUAGGUACCAAAAUUUUAG